rnacentral:rRNA from 1 species
AUUGAACGCUGGCGGCAGGCUUAACACAUGCAAGUCGAGCGGGGGAGGUUGCUUCGGUAACUGACCUAGCGGCGGACGGGUGAGUAAUGCUUAGGAAUCUGCCUAUUAGUGGGGGACAACAUUCCGAAAGGAAUGCUAAUACCGCAUACGCCCUACGGGGGGAAGCAGGGGAUCUUCGGACCUUGCGCUAAUAGAUGAGCCUAAGUCGGAUUAGCUGGUUGGUGGGGGAAAGGCCUACCAAGGCGACGAUCUGUAGCGGGUCGGAGAGGAUGAUCCGCCACACUGGGACUGAGACACGGCCCAGACUCCUACGGGAGGCAGCAGUGGGGAAUAUUGGACAAUGGGCGGAAGCCUGAUCCAGCCAUGCCGCGUGUGUGAAGAAGGCCUUUUGGUUGUAAAGCACUUUAAGCGAGGAGGAGGCUCUUAAGGUUAAUACCCUUGAUGAGUGGACGUUACUCGCAGAAUAAGCACCGGCUAACUCUGUGCCAGCCGCCGCCGUAAGAC